rnacentral:piRNA from 1 species
UAUAUGACAGCCAUGAGCUUGGGGCGGG